rnacentral:lncRNA from 1 species
UGGUCAGUUAGGUCAGUUAAAGGGCUGUGUUCAUGGUGAGUCAGCUAAAAGACCAUGAGUCAGUUAAGAUCAAUGUUAAUUGUUUACUUAGAUCAAAAGGCCUGAUCAUGUGUUCACUGUGAGCCUGUUCACUGUGAGUAAGUUGAGAUCAUGUUAAAUGUUUAUUUGAUAAAUAAAUAAAAGGCCUGAUCUUGUUUAUCAUGAGUGUUCUUGAGCUUCCGAUGCCAAUGAUGCAACAGUUGUCCAUCGUUGGAUCUAUA